rnacentral:rRNA from 1 species
AGGUUGAUAGGCUUUGAGUGUAAGUGCAGCAAUGCAUUCAGCUGAGAAGUACUAAUCGGUCGAGGCCUUGAACUG